rnacentral:rRNA from 1 species
GACGAACGCUGGCGGCGUGCUUAACACAUGCAAGCCGAACGAUGAAGCCGGAGCUUGCUCCGGUGGAUUAGUGGCGAACGGGUGAGUAACACGUGAGCAAUCUGCCCUUGACUCUGGGAUAACUGCGGGAAACGGUAGCUAAUACCGGAUACGACACCUUGGGGCAUCCCAGGGUGUGGAAAGAAUUUCGGUCAAGGAUGAGCUCGCGGCCUAUCAGCUAGUUGGUGAGGUAAUGGCUCACCAAGGCGACGACGGGUAGCCGGCCUGGGAGGGUGACCGGCCACACUGGAAGCGGGACACGGUCCAGACUUCCACGCGAGUCAGCAGUGGGGAAUACUGCACAAUGGGCGAAAGCCUGAUGCAGCAACGCCGCGUGAGGGAUCAAGGCCUUCGGGUUGUAAACCUCUUUUAGCAGGGAAGAAGCGAAAGUGCCGGUACCUGCAGAAAACGCACCGGCUAACUACGUGCCAGCCGUCGCGGUAA